rnacentral:rRNA from 1 species
CCUACGGGAGGCAGCAGUGGGGAAUAUUGGACAAUGGGCGAAAGCCUGAUCCAGCCAUGCCGCGUGUGUGAAGAAGGCCUUCGGGUUGUAAAGCACUUUCAGUGGGGAAGAAAGCCUUGGGGCUAAUACCCUCGAGGAAGGACAUCACCCACAGAAGAAGCACCGGCUAACUCCGUGCCAGCAGCCGCGGUAAUACGGAGGGUGCGAGCGUUAAUCGGAAUUACUGGGCGUAAAGCGCGCGUAGGCGGUCUGAUAAGCCGGUUGUGAAAGCCCCGGGCUCAACCUGGGAACGGCAUCCGGAACUGUCAGGCUAGAGUGCAGGAGAGGAAGGGAGAAUUCCCGGUGUAGCGGUGAAAUGCGUAGAGAUCGGGAGAAAUACCAGUGGCGAAGGCGGCCUUCUGGACUGACACUGACGCUGAGGUGCGAAAGCGUGGGUAGCAAACAGGAUUAGAUACCCCGGUAGU